rnacentral:rRNA from 1 species
GACGAACGCUGGCGGCGUGCCUAAUACAUGCAAGUCGAGCGGAGCUGUUCCUUCGGGGAUAGCUUAGCGGCGGACGGGUGAGUAACACGUAGGUAACCUGCCUUACGGUCUGGGAUAACGUCGGGAAACCGAUGCUAAUACCGGAUACGUUGGCUUCCCGCAUGGGAAGCCAUAGAAAGACGGAGCAAUCUGUCACCGUGAGAUGGGCCUGCGGCGCAUUAGCUAGUUGGUGGGGUAACGGCUCACCAAGGCGACGAUGCGUAGCCGACCUGGGAGGGUGAUCGGCCACACUGGGACGGAGAAACGGCCCAGACUCCUACGGGAGGCAGCAGUAGGGAAUCUUCGGCAAUGGGCGAAAGCCUGACUGAGCAACGCCGCGUGAGUGAUGAAGGCUUUCGGGUCGUAAAACUCUGUUGCCAGAGAAGAACGUCGGGUAGAGUAACUGCUGCCCGAGCGACGGUAUCUGAGAAGAAAGCCCCGGCUAACUACGUGCCAGCCGCCGCCGUAA